GGAAGUAAAAGUCGUAACAAGGUCUCCGUUGGUGAACCAGCGGAGGGAUCAUUAGCGAGUAUAACUCUCUAAAACCAUUGUGAACGAACGAACCCGUUGCUUCGGCGGACGGCUCUGCCGCCGCCGGAAGAACGCAAACUCUUGUUAUUAUUGUUUCUCUGAGUACUUAUUCAAUAAGUAAAAACUUUCAACAACGGAUCUCUUGGUUCUGGCAUCGAUGAAGAACGCAGCGAAAUGCGAUAAGUAAUGUGAAUUGCAGAAUUCAGUGAAUCAUCGAAUCUUUGAACGCACAUUGCGCCCCUCGGUAUUCCGGGGGGCAUGCCUGUUCGAGCGUCAUUACACCAAUCAAGCCUCGCUUGGUCUUGGGCGUCCGCGGUUCCGCCGCGCGCCCCAAAGUCUCCGGCUGAGCCGCCCGUCUCGAAGCGUUGUGAUCUAAUCGAAUCGCUUGCGGGAUUGGGCCGGCUUGUCCGCCGUCAAAACCCCCCUUUCUUAACAGGUUGACCUCGGAUCAGGUAGGGAUACCCGCUGAACUUAAGCAUAUCAAUAAGCGGAGGA
rnacentral:rRNA from 1 species